rnacentral:ncRNA from 1 species
AAUUAAUCGUUGAAGAAAAGAACAGUAAGGCGUCCAAUAACAGAGACCUAGCGCGUGCUGAAAGCUGGGGCGGACUAAUGAAUUGGCUUUUUGGAGAUUCGGUGAACACCGGGGACCCACCCUUAUCGGUCAAUGAGUGGCAGAGACAAGCUUUCUGCAAUUUAGGUGGUACCACGGUGAUGCGUCCUAAUU